GCUGCAACUCGCCUACACGAGGUUGGAAUUGCUAGUAAUCGUGGAUCAGCAUGCCACGGUGAAUACGUUCCCGGGUCUUGUACACACCGCCCGUCACACCAUGGGAGCUAGUAACACCCGAAGUCAGUAGUCUAACCGCAAGGAGGACGCUGCCGAAGGUGGGAUUAGCGACUGGGGUGAAGUCGUAACAAGGUAUC
rnacentral:rRNA from 1 species